UACGGAGGGUGCAAGCGUUAUCCGGAUUCACUGGGUUUAAAGGGUGCGUAGGAGGGCAGGUAAGUCAGUGGUGAAAUCUCCGAGCUUAACUUGGAAACUGCCGUUGAUACUAUCUGCCUUGAAUAUUGUGGAGGUGAGCGGAAUAUGUCAUGUAGCGGUGAAAUGCUUAGAUAUGACAUAGAACACCAAUUGCGAAGGCGGCUUACUACAGGAACAUUGACACUGAGGCACGAAAGCGUGGGGAUCAAACAGG
rnacentral:rRNA from 1 species